rnacentral:piRNA from 1 species
UCAGAGUUACGCUGCAGACUGCACAGCAC